GAUGAACGCUGGCGGCGUGCCUAAUACAUGCAAGUCGAGCGAACAGACGAGGAGCUUGCUCCUCUGACGUUAGCGGCGGACGGGUGAGUAACACGUGGAUAACCUACCUAUAAGACUGGGAUAACUUCGGGAAACCGGAGCUAAUACCGGAUAACAUGUUGAACCGCAUGGUUCAACAGUGAAAGACGGUCUUUCUGUCUCUUAUAGAUGGAUCCUCGCCGCAUUAGCUAGUUGGUAAGGUAACGGCUUACCAAGGCAACGAUGCGUAUCCGACCUGAGAGGGUGAUCGGCCACACUGGAACUGAGACACGGUCCAGACUCCUACGGGAGGCAGCAGUAGGGAAUCUUCCGCAAUGGGCGAAAGCCUGACGGAGCAACGCCGCGUGAGUGAUGAAGGUCUUCGGAUCGUAAAACUCUGUUAUUAGGGAAGAACAAAUGUGUAAGUAACUAUGCACGUCUUGACGGUACCUAAUCAGAAAGCCACGGCUAACUACGUG
rnacentral:rRNA from 1 species